GCUGAAAAAAAUAUUUAGCAACACAAAAUUAGAAAUAUAAGUUAAUUGCAGGCUAAAACUGUAAACAAUGAAUCUGGAAGCUGCACGCUCUAGAACUACAAACUGCAUGAAUUAAAUAGUAAUGCGAAAAUAAUCUGUAGAAAGAAACCACAAACUGCAGCAGAUUUCAAACCGAGGCCUGUGCGUGUACAGUUUCCUUAACACAGUUUUGCCCCCUCACCGUAGGUGCUGGAGGUUCAGUUCGAGCGGCUGUCUCCCAGGAUACAACGGCAAUAAGCAUAAUCCGAGCACCGCGGUCCUACUCCGGCGAACUGAUCUAGUAUCUGAACAAUAUCACCACAAGAACAAGGCGUUACUGGACAAGGAAUGCAGAAAAGAAAAAACUUUGUAUGCAGGAAUGUAGGUGAGAUUUGUGUUAGAUUACUGGAGAAUGAGCAUUUUUAUAGGCAUACUGCCCAUUAAUAUUGUGACCAUUGGAGUUACUUCCCAUUAACAUUGUGACCAUUGGAAGUCCAUUGGAGUUUUUUCAAUUUAGAAACUCAAAAGUCAUUGAAGAAGCAAUAUGUGGGCUCACCGAUGGGGCCAUUUUUGCCUAGUUCGGUUCAAACAUUAAUGUGCGCAGGUCGCGCCCGCACCCAAGUUCAAGGUCCGAAGGCCAUUUCGGUUCGUGAUUUGCACCCCCCUGCACGCGCACGUGGAGAGAGCCUCUAUACUACAUAUGAUUACACAUCUCCAAAACAUAACCAUAUAUAAAGUGGUUUAAGUUUUCUUGGUUUUCCUACGUGGGAUAAAUGCAUUUUUUCCCACAAAAUCAACUUCCAAUGACCAACUUUGAACUUCAAUUUCUCAUUCAUCCGAGCUUUAUUUUUGGCAAAUAAAUACAUGAAAUCGAUGUUCUUGCAGAGGAGAACACACAUCGACUUUGAUAUUCCACAUUGGACUAACGGGUCCCAUCGAAAAUUGUGCCAAAAAUGAGCCGCUCACUCAAUUUUUUCCAACAAAGAGUUCCUUGGCUUGUGUGAAGCUUUUCUGUAGAGACAUGACAGCGUGGUUUCUUACUUCUUCUCUCCGGGAUAAGUUUGUCCUUUUAAAGAUUCUCCUAACCUUUGAAAAAAUAUAUUGAGAUUAUGACUUCUUGAAUAUUGUUCUGCAAAAAGGCUACUUGUGUUGCUUCUAAAACUUGUAUUUCUUCCAGGAUUUGAAUGUCCACUUCAAUGCCAUUGAACGAGCAAUUUUGCAGAAUUUUCCAUCAAAUUCAUUACUUUCAUAUUCUUUUCGAUUGGGCUAUUUCUGAGUGCUACAAAACCAAAUGCAGUCAAUGCAGUAGGAAUAGUUUCUCGGUGAAAUGUGUGUUUCAUCAAACAUGAAUUUGAUUACGGCCUCAGUCCAUUAUCCAUCCGGGUUACAAUGGCCUUCACAGCGAGCGAAAUAGGCGAAAAUAGAGGAAACUGUGUGACCUCCAGCAAGUAAUCAAGAUAACGUGGCCAAAAUGUUGAAAAUUUAUGAGUAUUGGCUGAGGCAAUGGCACAGAUUAGAUCCCAAUUGUUUCUUCCUCCUCAAUUGGAGUCCUGAAUUUUUGGCCUUCACCUGCAGCAGAAAAUAUAAGAAAGCACUCGAGAUUAAGCAAUGAAUCAUCGGGUAAACCGACACUAGUGUUCAAAAUGUUCCCAAUAAAAUGCUGUUGAAUGAUCCUAAGAUUCUUUUCAAACUCACUAACACCACUAUCUAGAGAAUCUUUUACACUCUUCAGUAACAGGAAACUGGCCCAUUAUGCCAGAAUUCAAGUGUCUGCCUCCGAAUUUAGGAUCAUGACUGAGAGUAGAAACCUGGUCCCGAUCUUUCAUAAGCUAGGAAGAUAGAAUCUGAAUCUAAAGCAUUAUCACAUUCAGUAAUGUAGCAGAAUUGAUCUUUGAUUGGUGAAAUUUGAGCUUGGUUUAUCAAUCCAACCGAGAUCGACCACAUCAAUUAACGACCCAAGAACCAUAACUAUUUGCCCACACUUCGGUUGCUACGGAUGCACCCACAAAGGACACAAAGUUUCAAUGUUAUUACAGCUACAAAAGCACCCACUCAUGCUGUCAGAAAGGCAAACGAAAGAAGAAAACUCAAUGAAAGAGAUAGUGGAAGGAGCAGCCGGUUUCUCUCUUUUUGAGGUUGGGAAUAACACG
rnacentral:lncRNA from 1 species